AUGAUGACGAACCAAAAACUACGCCAACAAUUCCAGUAAAGAAUGGUCCACACUAAUAGGUUUGAUGGAAAAAACAGUUGUGUAAACUUUAAAAUACAAUAAACGUAGGACGCAUUAGGAAAACUAAUUUUAAAUGUGGAAAUCCAAACUUUCUCUUUUGAAGAAAAUCCAAAAUUUUUCAUAUUGUUAAAAAUAAGCUUCAUAUAUAUAUGAACUUAACAUGAAUAUUAAUUACAAACACAUGAAUGCAUCACUAAUGGUUUUAAUACUUGGUUUCGACUUGGGAAUAUGUAGUAUCAUCUCGAAUAACAUCUACCCUAUAAAAUUUCUAGGUAGAUAUAAGU
rnacentral:lncRNA from 1 species